GACGAACGCUGGCGGCGUGCUUAACACAUGCAAGUCGAACGGAAAGGCCCUGCUUUUGUGGGGUGCUCGAGUGACGAACGGGUGUGUAACACGUGAGUAACCUGCCCUUGACUUUGGGAUAACUUCAGGAAACUGGGGCUAAUACCGGAUAGGAGCUCCUGCUGCAUGGUGGGGGUUGGUAAGUUUCGGCGGUUGGGGAUGGACUCGCGGCUUAUCAGCUUGUUGGUGGGGUAGUGGCUUACCAAGGCUUUGACGGGUAGCCGGCCUGAGAGGGUGACCGGCCACAUUGGGACUGAGAUACGGCCCAGACGCCUACGGGAGGCAGCAGUGGGGAAUAUUGCACAAUGGGCGGAAGCCUGAUGCAGCAACGCCGCGUGCGGGAUGACGGCCUUCGGGUUGUAAACCGCUUUCGCCUGUGACGAAGCGUGAGUGACGGUAAUGGGUAAAGAAGCACCGGCUAACUACGUG
rnacentral:rRNA from 1 species